AAAGUACUCCCUCCGUCCCAAAUUAACUGACGUGGAUUUGUAUAAGAAUCUAUACAAAUCAUUCUUAUACAAAUCCACGUCAGUUAAUUCGGGACGGAGGGAGUAGUAC
rfam:Brachypodium distachyon strain Bd21 chromosome 1, whole genome shotgun sequence.